CACCCCCCACCCCCGUCACCUUUGUCAUUUCUGGUCUACCUCAGAUGCCUUUUCUUCAAAAGUGGCUCUUGAGGCUCCAGGACAGUAAUUCAAGCAGAUUCCUUUAUCGGUACUGAUUGUCAGGAGUUCUAAGAUUCCAGUCACUGUGGGAUAGUCCAGACGGUUUUCCUAUUUGCUACUGGGACUUAGAGGUCUGAUAAUGUCCUGUGUUUCCUCCCUGGCGUCUGAAGACUCUGGCCAAGGAUCGUCCUGCUGGGGGAACCCACAGUCAACGCUGUCCUUCUAGCCCCGCAGGGCCUGGGAGUGGAGGACCCUUGACCUCCGAUGUCGGGGUCGGGACGACGCUGCGUCCGUCACAUCGAGAGGUCGUGCUCUCUCCUAGACUAUAUCCAUCUGAGGCAAUACUUUGGACUCCAUCUGCCUUAUUUUUUUUUGUCUUAUUUUCUCGAUUGUUUCAUAAACUGUCAAAAGAAGAGAUGCAUGAAGGUCUAGUAAACAUGGUGAAAAAGUAUUUCUAAAAAUGAGAAUCACACUUUAAGGCAUUCCUUGUGAAUUGUGGCAAAAACACACCUGGUGACUUCAGGCAAGAAGGUAAGCCGGCACCAGCCUUUCAGAGGACAGGUGCAAAGAGAUAUCUACAUUCAAGAUGUACAUUAAAGUUUGAUGAGCAGUUCCAGUCUUAGGAAUUUAAAUUGUGAAUAUACUUUAAAAAAAAAAAAUCACCACACAUGUAAACAAGGGUGUCUGCAGAGACUUUGUAGUUCUAAAGACUGAAAAGCACCAUAAAUGCCCAUCAAGAAUGAAGUGGAUUUAGAAGAAAUGAUUCAGCCCAUGAGAGCAUAGUAUGGUAUAUCACACGUAUUUGUAAAAGAAUAAGAAUUUUACAGGAAAAUUUGAAACUACAGCAGUAGGAAAUAAAGCCAAGUCCAACAAAUGGUGUAGUUGACUUGAGAUGUUCUCGACAUGAUAUUGGUCACACGGCUGUGUGUGUGGUG